GGAGGAACUCUAUGUAGAGUCCAUGGGAUGUCAGGAUUUGAAGUAUUUAUUUACAACUUCAUUUGUCAAAAGCUUUUUACGGCUCAAGAGACUUUGGAUAAAAGAUUGUGGGUUCAUGGAAAGGAUAGUUCUCACAGAAGAAUUCGCAGAAGAAGAGAGACUGGAUAAGAUAAUCUUCUCUCAUUUAGAAAAUUUGACUCUCUUGUAUCUUCCAAAUCUCACAAGUUUU
rnacentral:misc_RNA from 1 species